rnacentral:rRNA from 1 species
CAGCCGCCGCGGUAAUACGUAGGGUGCAAGCGUUAAUCGGAAUUACUGGGCGUAAAGCGUGCGCAGGCGGUGUUGUAAGACUGAUGUGAAAUCCCCGGGCUCAACCUGGGAACUGCAUUGGUGACUGCAACGCUGGAGUGCGGCAGAGGGGGAUGGAAUUCCGCGUGUAGCAGUGAAAUGCGUAGAUAUGCGGAGGAACACCGAUGGCGAAGGCGAUCCCCUGGGCCUGCACUGACGCUCAUGCACGAAAGCGUGGGGAGCAAACAGGAUUAGAUACCCCAGUAGUCCCUGUCUCUUAUAC